rnacentral:rRNA from 1 species
ACGAACGCUGGCGGCGUGCCUAAUACAUGCAAGUAGAACGCUGAAGGAGGAGCUUGCUCUUCUGGCUGAGUUGCGAACGGGUGAGUAACGCGUAGGUAACCUGCCUGGUAGCGGGGGAUAACUAUUGGAAACGAUAGCUAAUACCGCAUAACAGUAGAUGUUGCAUGACAUUUACUUAAAAGGUGCAAUUGCAUCACUACCAGAUGGACCUACGUUGUAUUAGCUAGUUGGUGGGGUAACGGCUCACCAAGGCGACGAUACAUAGCCGACCUGAGAGGGUGAUCGGACAGACUGGGACUGAGACACGGCCCAGACUCCUACGGUAGGGCGCAGUAGGGAUACUUCGGCAAUGGACGGAAGUCUGACCGAGCAAAGCAGAGUGAGUGAAGAAGGUCUUCGGAUCGUGAAGCUCUGUUGUAAGGGAAGAACGAGUGUGAGAGUGGAAAGUGCACACUGUGACGGUAUCUUACCAGAAAGGAACGGCUAACUACGUG